rnacentral:rRNA from 1 species
AACGAACGCUGGCGGCAUGCCUAACACAUGCAAGUCGAACGAAACCUUCGGGUCUAUUCGCCCCCGAGUUCGUCACGCGUGGGAACCUGCCCUCAUGGUCGGCAUAACUCCCCGACAGGGGUACCAAUACCGGAUAAUGUCUUCUACCCAAUGAUUUAUCGACUUUGGAUGGGCCCUCGUUGGAUUAGCUAGUUGGUACGGUAAAAGCCUACCAAGGCGACCAUCCAUAGCUGGGCUGAGAGGAUGAUCAGCGACACUGGGACUGGGACACGGCCCAGACUCUUACGGGAGGGAGCAGUGGGGAAUAGAGGAAAAUGGGCGAAAGCAUGAUGCAGCAAGGACGCGAGAGUGAUGAAGGCAGUAGGGUUGUAAAGCGCUAGUAACCGGGAUGAUAAUGACAGUACCGGGAGAAUAAGCCCCGGCUAACUACGUG